ensembl:lncRNA
GAAGAACGUUCGGCUCACACGUAGUCUUUCAUAUCUCGAUGUUGUCCAUUACAAAGUGCAUCUCCUUUCCACUUUUUCAUGUCAUCUUGUCUUUAUUGGCAGCUUGUGUGCUGCUCUCUAUUGAUGAGAUCGUGCUGGCCCGUCCUGCGCUCUUCAGCGGAGAUCCAGAAGAGGAUGUGAUGUGAUGGACCACGAAAGAAGCAGUGGAUUGGAGAAUGAGAUCAAAAUUAGGCCACGGACAUUACAUCCAUUAUAACCAUGCUUGCUUUUGGUUUUAAACCCCUGGUGAUGAGCUAUUCUUGUGUUAUUUAUUCUGUAAAACAUUGCAAAUUUUCUCUAAGGGAGUUUUAAACGUAUUUAUCAAUGGGUAUUUAGUAAAACAUGCAAAUUUCUGAAAAGCAGUUAAGCUAGUUUCCCUGCGGCACCAUUGAGCGCUUGACAUUGCCGCCCGUCUUUGUUUAGUGUUCCUCUUUAUCUAAGUUGCUUCACUUACAACACUCUAAUACUGCAAUAAAAUCCCUACCGAGUGCAUGCUUGGUCACCUUGACAUGCUGUUAAAUUGCAUUUGUGCUUCAGAAACUCCGGAUGUAUCUUCCCCCCAUUAGGUGCUCAUGGGAUUGCUUUUAAUGACACUUUGCUGAUUUGCUUUCACUGUAAUAACAGACCGCUUUUGUGACAUCCACUGGCUUCUGCAAACACCAUGCUAAUCUGACCACAGAACGUGUAGCACAGCACCAGCGUAAUUUGAUUCGCAGCACAUUGUGCUUACACGCUCCAAAUCUGCCUUACGCCUGUGAUAUCGAAACACCUCGGCGUUUGCUGGAGCUGCACCAAAUGAACGCGGGGAAGAAAAAAAAGCUUCUGGAGCAGACGAUGGACAGUGGGGGCCAAAUGAAAGCUCUCAGAAUCACUGUACAUAGCCAUCGGUCAAACAGUCCAUUUCUUCCCCGAUGUCGCUGUGUUCUGGCAUAGGAGGAAGAUGGAAUAUUCUGUGGACAUAUAUAUGUGUGUAUCCUAUGCAAUUUUUAAAUUCCCCUGAAGGUCUCCAGGUGUCCCACAUGAAAAAAAAAUGCAUGAAAAUGUAUAAAUGAAUAAUUUAUUAGUUGAAUUUGUAUUGUUGUAAUUGUGGGACACGCAUCGUCUUCAAAGUUUAUUUUAUUUUAUUUUUUAUUUAUAAAGGGCAAUAUUUGCCCCCAAAACAGGUUUUAAGGGCUGUUUUGAUGUUUAUGAAUGUAUAUUUUCCUUUUUUCAACGCUUCAAUUAAAAUAUACAAAAUAUUAUUAACAGUUAUGUCCUAGCAAAUACAAAAGUAACUGUAUAUAAUGCAGAAUUUAAUUAUUUAUCAUGCUUUCUCCUUUAGGUGAAUUAUUUCUACUUUUAUUAUUGUCUUAUUAGUGUCUCUUUUAUUAUGUACUUUUGUCUAUCUAUCUGCC